AACAGGUGGAGCCUGCGGUUUAAUCGGACUCAACGCCGGGAAACUCACCAGAUAAGACAGCUGAAUGAUAGUCGGGCUGAAGACUCUACUUGACUAGCUGAGAGGAGGUGCAUGGCCGUCGUCAGUUCGUACUGUGAAGCAUCCCGUUAAGUCAGGCAACGAGCGAGACCCACGCCAACAGUUGCCAGCAUGUCCUCCGGGAUGGUGGGGACACUGUUGGGACCGCCUCUGCUAAAGAGGAGGAAGGAAUGGGCAACGGUAGGUCAGCAUGCCCCGAAUUAUCCGGGCUACACGCGGGCUACAAUGGUCAGGACAAUGGGCAUCAACACCGAAAGGUGAAGGCAAUCUCUUAAACCUGUCCUUAGUUCGGAUUGUGGGCUGCAACUCGCCCACAUGAAGCUGGAAUCUGUAGUAAUCGCGUCUCAAAAUGGCGCGGUGAAUAUGUCCCUGCUCCUU
rnacentral:rRNA from 1 species